UUGAUCAUUCUAACAUUAUUCAAAUCUUUAUGCAAACUAAGACAAGUACUUGCCUUCAUUAAGAUUUGCCUUCACUGAGACACUGCAAAUCUUGGGCUCGAAAAGAUAAUCCAGAACCACUGAACUUUUGCUCAGUUAUUUGGUCAAGGUGAGCUCCCAUUUCAGCUGUCAAAUAGUUCUUCCAAUCACCAACUUUACCUUUCCUAAAGAAUGAAUUGUUUUCAAUUUUGAGAGCUCCUGUUGCAGAGUUCUCUAAGCUAUUUCUGUUCACUUCCAAAUUGCUUAGAGUCUCAAAGCUGCACAAGUUGACGAUUUUUUGCACUAACCCUUGUCUCUCUUCUUCUGCAGAAAAAGGGCAACUCAUGAAUUCAGCAAUUCUUUUGACAUAGGAGAAAGGAUCAUUCAUCAUAUCUUCAUAUUUCAUAAAGAGUAUUUUCUCUGGAAAUUCAAGACUUGCUUUCCAGGAGCUUUUUUUCAAAUUAUACCUAAAUAAAAUUUAUUUUUUCAAAUCAUGCAUUUUCGGAUCUGUGUGUCAAACCUGAGUGUUCGGCAGUCAUACUACCGAACACUCUUGUUCGCGCGGAGCCAUUGUUCGACACUAAUGGUGUCGAACAACGGCUUCUCCUGCCACGGGAGCAGUUUUAUGCUCCCGUGGCGCACUAGGCGUGUUCGGCACCAUUGGUGUCGAACACGCCUGACAUGUUCCUCCCAUUCAUGCCCCCUUCUGUAGGGCUACUUACUUGCAUAUUCAUUUUUUUUUUUUAUUUUAUUUCAUCUCUCAUUACUCUCUCAAAAUCGUUCCCUCCAAAUACGUCGGAGACUGGCGAGGCACUUGAGCUCCAAACAAACAUGUGGAGCUCCUUAGCGUCAUGGUUUGCUUUGGAAUUCUGUUGCUGAGGCUGCUGCUGUUGCUCCUGUUGCUGCUGCUGAAGAUUCUUGGUGUUUUUUGUGGAAACCGUUGAAGAAAAUUCCGGAUUUGGUGCUGGAUAAGAUGUUGGCACCGUUUGCGCCGGAUAAAACCCGAAUCUUGGAGAAGAAUUUGUAGCCAUUGGAGCACAGUUUUCUUCAAAGUUUGAGGGCCGAGGUGUUGGACCUCUUGAAGAUUGUACAGAGUACAAGUCCGCCGGACCAAAAUUUGAGAGUUUUCCACCGGGGAAUCCCUGCACACCCAUCAUAUUAUAGAAGUCGGAAGUGUUAAAAUUAGAUCCUCUUGGGGUUGGAUUUCUUGAUGAACUCAAGCUAUAAAUCUCAGCUCCAGUAAGAUUCGAGGGACGAGGAGUCAAUCCAGAGAAAGAACCAGGCCCCAAAGAUCGCCGCGAAGCAUUGGAUUUCCUCACCGUCACAUGCAGCUUCCCAUCAUCACCAAUCUCAGCAUCUGUUUCCAAGAAAUCUCUACCGUCUAAAGGCUCCCGUACCGCGCUGUGCAGCGCCACGCGGGGCGCAAAAAGAAGAGUUCGGCACGAACUCUUCUUUUUGCGUGACUGCAGAUCCGUCAGGCGUGGAGUGCAGAACACGCCUCCUGUGCCACGGGAGCAGUUGGUGUUCGACACCAUUGAUGUCGAACACCAGUGUCCGCGUGGCAGUUCGACACCAAUGGUGUCGAACAACGGCUCCGCACGGUGUCGAACUUCACUCUGUUUGGUGUCGAACAAGAGUGUUCGGCAGUACACUCAGGUUUGACACACAGGAUCCGAAAAUAUUUUCGGAUCCUGCAUGAUUUGAAAAAAUAAAUUUUAUUUAUGUAUGAUUUGAAAAAAAGCUCGCUUUCCAGUACCCUAAAAUAUGAUCCCACCAAGGUCCACAAGAAUUUAUUCCUUUGCAAAAAUACUGAUAUGCUGUCUCUAAUGGAAUGGCUUCCUUGCGUAACUUACACAUAAACUGCCAAUACGAAAUAAACAAAUCCUUGGGAUCUCUGGAGAGGUAAAUGAUUUUACACUUCAACUCUACAAUAUACUUGGGCAAAAGAGUGUAGGGAAUGUGUGUGGCAAAAACUGGAAGUUCAGAUUCUCUGUUAGCCGAAAUUUCAAUCCAAGGAAUAAAAUCGUGUGGGGACUUCGUGAACAAUGGAUGUGAGGAGAAAUCAUUGAAUCGUGUUCUUGUGAAAGUAGCAAAACACAAGGCUUUAAGCCAAGUGGUGCCAGAUUUUGGAUUGGUGCAAAUGAUAAUAUCAGUAGGUUGGGGUGUGAAGUGUUCAUGCACUGACAUUAUGCUUUCUAGCAUAGUUGUACGAAACCAAAAGCCUUGAUACUUAUGGAUGUAUUGAUCGAGUGGUGGUGCAAAGACAUUUGGUUGACGAGGAAGAGUUGAAAUUAUCUCUCUAUAUUUUGUAGGGUUUAUUGGAGACUCGUUGGUGUUCAUGGAAGUAGACAAAAUUGCCUCAAGGACCAUUCACUUGAAGAACUGUAAUGGUCUAUUUAUAGAGAAAAAAGUUUUAGCAAGCAUUUGGCAAUUGGUGAUAUUAAUCUCCCAAUUCUGCAUAUUGGGCCACCAUGUGAAUAAGAUGACAAAUGCAUGAAUGGGUGAUCCAGGUUGGUAGCAAAUUUAUGCCAUAAGAUAUAGUUUUCUGCUUUCUCAUUAUAUAAAAAUGUUUUUAUAUUUUAAUUUCCUCAAUUGAAAAAAAUUUUCGUCCAGUUAAAUUUAUUUUUCAAUUUAUUUAUUGGCUAAAGCAGAAAAAAUUUAUUUAUAUUCUAAAAUUAUCCUUUAAAAAAAAAGAAAAAAAAUUUUUAAUUUGCAAAGAUCUCAAAAGAAAAAAAAGAAAAAUAUUGAAAAUAAAAUUUGAAUAAGGUAAAACAGUUUAUUUUAUGGUAAAUACAAACGAGAUUAUUUUAGUUUAUCUAUUUGAAUUAACGAAAAAAAUAAAUUUAAUUUGACGGAAGUUCUUUUCGAGUGACAUAAUCAAAAUAUAUGAGUAUUUUAAUAUAAUUUUAAGAUAAUAUUUUUAUUAGUUAGAUCAUAAUACAGAAAUGCCAAAAUAAUUAUCUGUCUCAAAGAAAAAAUUUAAAUAUGAGAUUUUAUUCACUCUCCACACCUUAAAUUUGAUAUUCAGUGGCAAAUUUAUAUUGAUCAGCAUAAAAAAAAUUUUAUAGAAUUUUUUGUACUAAUUUUAAUGUUUAUAAAAUGAAAUAUUAAUUCUUUAAAAAAAUAUCUCACUAAAAUAUUUUAUCAACAAAAUUCGUUAAUUCUGAAUGUUAUAUUUGUGUAAUUUUUUUUCUUUAAAAUAUUUUUUUAGCAGUGGGCUGUAUGAUAUUGAAAUUCACUUCCAGUUUUUAAGAUAUCUAUUCUGAUAUUGUUGUAGAGUUUUGUUUAUACUUUUAUUUCAAAAAGCAAUUAAAAUAUUUAUCAAAAUUAACCCAAUAGCUAUAAUUAAUACAAAAUUUUAAAUUGAAUUAAAAUUAUAAAAAUUUGAAAAAAUUUGGAAAAUUUUACCAUUAUGAUCCAUUAAUAAAAUAAUAAUGUUUUAAUUCAUCAAACUUAAAAUUUUUUUUAAAAAUAAUAUUAUAUUAAAUCAAAAUUUAUUUGACUCUUAAUAAAAUUAUAAAAAUUUUAUUAAUAAAAAAAUAAAUUAAAUUUAGUUGGCUCUGAAUAAAUACAGGAGAUUAAUUAAGCUUAUUUUCAAUACUAGAUUAUUUAAUUUUAAAAAAUAAAAUCAGUGAUAUAAUUAUUAAUUUUAUUAUAAUCUAAAAAUUAAAAUAUAUUUUAUAUUUAACAAUAUUUUGUCAUUUUAAAAAUAAUUACAAUAACAUAUUUAUCUUAAAUUUAUUAUGUUUAUCUAUUGUCGCAAGAAAUUAUAAUCCUUCGUUCGUGCAUUAAAUUAAUAAUAUUAUAAAAAUAAUUAAAAAAAAUUAAAAUUAUUCACAAACCUGCAUUAUUAUUAUUAUUAUUAUUAUUUAGUCAUGCUUAUAUGGAAAGUGCAAUUAAAUUUAAAUUUAAUAAAUUUAAAAAAUUAUUAAUUGACAUGAUAUGACAUAACAUCACAUCACAUAACAUGACGUGACAUGACAUGGAUAGAACACCCCAUGUGAAAAGUGUCUGAUAUUAUCAGCUAAAAAACAGAACAAAUAAUUUUAUAUCUGUCGACUCUGCAUUAUGCUGAUAUUUUUUAAAAUAAAUUAGUUUACAAUUUAGCCAAAUUUUUAAUUUUAUAGAGCUGUAAAUAUAAGAGAAAUUAUAAUUAUUUUUUCAGGAAAAUGUAUUUAUUUUCUAUAACAACUGAAAUAAGUUUAAAUUAAAAUAGAUAAUUAUAAAAUAAGUAAUGAAAUGGAAUUUAGGCUUCAAUCUUUUUAUUAAAAACAUUUUUAAGAAAGUAUUUUCAGAUUUUUUAAUAUUUACAAUAUUAAAAAAAAGUCAAUAAUAUUUAUUUAACAGGUAAGUGUUAAUAAUUCAGACACAUUAUUUGUUAUUAUUUUUUUCAUAAAAAUUUUUUUUUAUACCUUUAUAUAAUAAUAUACCCAUUCAAUUUUAUCCAUAAUUUUUAAAAGAUUUUUUUUUUCGUCUAAAAUCAUCAGUUUAAGAAUACUAAUAUUUUUCAAUUUUAUCCUUAUUUUUAUUGAACCUAAUAAUUAUUUCUAUAAUUUCCUAAAACACAUUUUAUAAUUUUCCUUUCUCUCUUAAGCAACCCACUUUUCUAAUAAUAAAUUAAUGAAAUAAAAUAUUAAAAUUGAAGAAAGUAAGUCAAAAAUAAAUAAUAAUUUAAUUAAAUUAAGAGUAUUAUACGAGAAAAUAUAUUGAAAUUGAUGAGAAAAGAGUAGUCAAUAUAAAAUUAUUAUUGAUGAUCGCCGAAUCUCAUCAUCACUGGACAAGACCGAAUUCAAGAGGACAGCGCCGGUCCAAAGCCCAUGAAGCUUUUUUUGUCGAUUGGUUCAGCCUCUUCGACUCUAAUUCAGACAUGCGUGAUAGACUGGUCAUCCGCGAGGGUUCAGUAAAAAGAAGCUCGUGAUGAUGUGAUAUGAAGGAGGACAGCAAGCCCGCGCCAGGGGAAUUAAAUGACCGUCUGGCGUAGAGAGAAAUUCGGACGCAUCCAUACGUACGGACGUGAAUGACAGGGACAUAUGGUACUGUAGCAAAGAAGUUAUUAGAUGUCACUAGCAGACAAAUGGAAAGAAAGAAAAGGGAGAAAUGUUUUCCUCCCCAAUGAAACUAGCAGAUAAAUGAAAUGGAAUAAAAGGAGAGAAACUUCUUCCUCCCCAUCGAAACUCACACAAAACUACUUUAAAUCGUAUUUUUUUUAAACUCAGGACAUCAAUGAUCAAUAAACUAAGAUAAGCUUUCAUUAAGAUCACUACAACAUAUGCUUAGGUUGAUCAUUCUAACAUUAUUCAAAUCUUUAUGCAAACUAAGACAAGUACUUGCCUUCAUUAAGAUUUGCCUUCACUGAGACACUGCAAAUCUUGGGCUUGAAAAGAUAAUCCAGAACCACUGAACUUUUGCUCAGUUAUUUGGUCAAGGUGAGCUCCCAUUUCAGCUGUCAAAUAGUUCUUCCAAUCACCAACUUUACCUUUCCUAAAGAAUGCAUUGUUUUCAAUUUUGAGAGCUCCUGUUGCAGAGUUCUCUAAGCUAUUUCUGUUCACUUCCAAAUUGCUUAGAGUCUCAAAGCUGCACAAGUUGACAAUUUUUUGCACUAACCCUUGUCUCUCUUCUUCUGCAG
rnacentral:lncRNA from 1 species